GGUGGUUCUCGGGUGAUGCACCCUGAACUCGGGCUCCCUCCUUUCUGGUUCCGGGUGCGUUACACAAGAACCACA
rfam:Myotis brandtii contig280335, whole genome shotgun sequence.